GUCUAUGGCCAUACCACCCUGAACGCGCCCAGAUGUGCCCCAUCUCAUCUGAUCUUAGAAGCUAAGCAGGGGUGGGCCUGGUUAGUACUUGGAUGGGAAAAUAGAGAAGGAAAAAACAAUCUAUCAACA
rnacentral:rRNA from 1 species